CGCGCCCGGCAUCGCGCGCUGCCAGCUGCAGCGUCCGUUUCCCUAGCGACGGAGAUGCCAGGCCCUCCCGCCUCUGCUCUCCUUAUAUUGGGCACUGGACGGUAGCUCCGCCCCACUAAGUUAAUAAGAGUAUGCUGGUAGCAAAGGCGAAAGGGGAACAACAGUAGAUGAUGCUGUCUUCACUUGCCUUAAGGAGAAGGAUAAUGGAUUCUCCCCCAAGAGAGGGUAGAAGCAGAAGGAAGAUUUCCUAGCUCAAUGUUAAACAAAUACUUUAAACCCAGAAGAAAAUAUUGUAAGAAAACUACCAAUAUCUCCCAGUAGCACAGGACAUCAACCCAAGAAUCAAUAAAUAGAACUACGUGAAAUAAAAUAACUUCUGUACAUCAAGGGAAAUUAUCAGAAGAAUGAGCAGCCAGCCUACAGGAGAUUACUAUGUAUAAAAGAUAGCUCAUCAUAACCAAGGAGAGGCAAAGCCUAUUUCCUUCAGAAGAAAUGAGAUGACUUUUGAUUAACAUGAAGAGAGAUUCCGAAGGAACUGGGAAAUAACAAAGGAGCUGACCACAGAGGGAGGACAUUCAGCCACUGGAGGAGUGAGAUCUUCUGUAAAGAAGUUGCCACUGUGAUCAAUCUUUGUGUCUGGGAACCCAGGGCAUCAGUGAUCAGCACCUAGCAGUUUCUACAUGAAAAUGGAAUGAAUUCAUCAUACCAGCAUACUGAAGACCUUGGCUGCCUCCUGUUUAAUUGAGAUGCUCUCAACUGGGAUACUUUGCCCUUGCCUUGACCAAAGUCCAACUGGAGACUAUCACUACUCCAUUACAUUGCAGAUUAUAAUAGAGUAUGACUCCUGUUUUUUUUUUUCAAUAAAUGGUAUAGAAGAAAAUACUGUCACCAAGAACAUUAAAGUUCUUCACCCCAAAAUAUGUACAAACUUUUGACCAAUAAGAAGCCAUCAGAGAUAGAUUUGCAUCCAAAUGUUUCCAGGAGCUGUGUUAGAUUAUGGAAGAGGAACAGAAAAUGGAGGUGGAGAGAAAAUCUGAUUUUCCUUAAGUUAUACUAAGUGAAUGGUAAUUUCCUACUUGCAUAAUUAAAGGUUAUUAAAUAGUAAAAUGAAAUUUUAAGCAUGCUAUAAAUGACUCGUGUCAAGCAAUAUGAGCUGGAGCCUAACUCAUAUCUAGGAAUACAAGACAUAGGUAAUGAGGCAGAAGAUAAUAUUUAGGAUUAGCUGGACUUACUGAAUGACCGUAUCACAAUUUAGUAAGUUGUAGAUCAAGAAAUCAACUUGGCUCUAAGUCUACUCAAUUUUUAAAGGAGUCAUUUGUUUUAAGCUUCUACUAAUAACAGGUAUGACUCUCCACCAAUAAAUACUAGUACCUUCCCGUAUCUCUUUGGAAAGAGAUGACUAGCAAACACUGCCUUAGUUUCAGUCUGGGUAGCAUGGCUGGGUCAGGGUGUAGCUGAGUGCUUCACAGAUAGUUGCUGUCCAUUCUCAAGUGUACACUCACGUGAAGUCAGACAGUGUCAGUAAUUCACCUGGAUCCUCUUGGUCCCCCACAUGGUCUUGGCACCUAUGGCAAGGGUGAUUUUGUAUACAAUGGACAUACUUGCUUCUCUUUGAGUGAUUUGGGGGAAGGGGUAGGAAGGCAUAGAACUCAGUGUCCCCUCUGCAGGUGAGAUCAGCUCUCAGAAGUUUGCCUGCUUCCUUCUUCCAUCUUCCCCUGCUCUCUUCCUAGCUCUGUGUUCUAGAGAUGUGAGGCUGUUCAGUUGCACAUACCCACUCCCUUGGAAAGGCUCAACCUUUCAAUGCCCCCACCAUAUCACCUAUGCCCCGCGUCUCUAAAUGUGAGUUAUAUUCUAGCUGUACGUGGAGAAGUUUUCCUCUCUGAUUGCUAAGUAACUCAUGCAGAAUUCCAUCCCUUCAUGUGUAGGGUUCCCCACAAAGUACAGAAACAUUAUCUAAUCAUCUGCACCCAAGGUGAAAAGGCUGAAAAUAGAGUACAAUUUCUCAGGUGAUGUUCACCAUGGUGGCAUCCCAUCUCCUUGUAUGCAGUCAUAACAAUAAUUCUUUGAGUUGUGACGCCUUCCAACAAUAAAUAGUGUUUCUUUCCUCUUUGAAGUGGAAAGAGAAGUCUUUGUCCAGUAGUAGCUGGAACUCAUAGCCCAUGUUCAGCUUUCUACCCUUUGAGCACACAGUUCUGUGUACUUCACAGACACUGAAGCUUAAUCAAGCCUCAGGCAAUGACCUUGACAGUGUAGCUCUCUCCAAUCAUUUUCCUCUUUCUCCCUCUCAUCUUCCUGUCCUCCAUCAUAAGUUUCUUUGUAUACUGUCACUGCACCAAGAAUCAGGUCCCUCCAAUACAUUCAGCUCUCGGUGGAACAAAAACGGAUACUAUUGAGAAACCCCUGGGUCAUACACAAGAGGUGAAUGAUCCACCAGCCUGAUCUUUUGGUUCUAGUUAGGAGUUGACAAUAAUAUAAAUAAUCAUUCAUUUUUGCUCUUCUGAAGUUCAAAACAGAAGAUUUGCUAAAUAGUCAAACAAAGAAAUCACUCGUCACUUAUUUCUCUUCGGGAUACAUUCACACACCAAUACAUUCAACAGCUAUUUCUCAGCAUCUGCUGUGAUGAAUUCCCAAGAGUCAGAUGAACUCAGGAUGGACAGAGCCCCUAUCAUCACGGAGCUGAGAGUCUGGCAGUAUAAUCAGACAUUAAGUUGUUAAGUAGAGCCAUGUAUGCAUCCAUAUACUGCUAAAAGUGAAUGAUACCUGAUGGUGGAGAUUGCUGUGCAGGGAUUGACAAAUAAUUAUCCAUGAAUGUUAUGAGAAUGUAGGACACUCAGGCAGUUUAUAGAAAACCAUGUGGAUACAGGGGUAAAAUUUCUGGUUAGUGGCUAUAUUCAUCUGCUUGGGUUAUUAAAACAAAAUACUAUAGACUGGGCUGUUUGAAUACAAGAAAUUUAUUUCUAAUCAUUACCAAGGUUCAUGACAAAAAUAUCUCAAGGUAGGUUUCAUUUUGAGGCAUCUCAUGGACUGUGUUGUCACUAUAGUCUUGUCAUGUACUCGUAUAACUUCUUCUGUAUAUAUGUAUGUAAAGGGAGGGGGGAAAGAAGGAGUGCAGGAGGAAGAAAAGGGAGGAGAGGAGAUGGAGAAUACUGGACAUCCCUUAUCAGGCAUUAAUGCCAUCAUGCAGGCCUUGCCAUCAUGGCUCUUUUCCAUGUAUGAUCACUCUGGAAGUGUGGGCUUCAACAUAUGAAUUUGGGGACACACUGUCCAUAACAGUUGCCUCUUUCAACAAACUUUAAUUGUGUGUCUAUUUCUAAAAUCUGUGGAAAAUAUCAGAAUAGAAAGAGUAGCCUUUCUCCUUUUCCUUGAGCACUUUCUUUGUCUUUCAGAUUCAAAUUUACUACAUAAGCAGAGACUGGAUUGUUUUAUUGGAUUUGAAGAGAUUUAAAACAUGAGAGAAAAUGCUACAGAGCUAACAGUACAAAAAUGACCAAUUUAUUUUAGUUUCUAUGGUACACGGAAGAAAACCUAGUGGUGACAUGAGGAACAGCUGAAAAAAGCUGAAAAUGAGUUUAAGACUAGCUAGUUCUCGUGCUUAUGUUCCGAGGCAAGGGGAUGUCAACCUAAGAAGAGACUUGUAAAGAGAAUUUGGGGCAAGGUCAAAGGGUUAGUGAGUUCAGGCUAGCCCACUUACACUGGUGUUAGACAUCAUUGCUAUGGUAAAGGAGUGUUGGCUUGUGAGGGGACUGGGAAGGCAAUGCUGAGUCUGUGGAUGUCUGGACUCAAGUUAUUGGAGAAAAAUAAUCCCCCCCAAGGAACUGUUUGUAUUUAUGGAAGAAUGUAUGGAAGAUGGGGGCUAAGCACUGACUUUGGCCCAUAACACCAGCUUCUCCUCUUUGGUAAUAACAUCUUGAUUUCCUUAUGAUCAACAAAUUCUUUAUUAUUUGGUAUACUCUCCCAUGAGCAACGUGCUCAAGAAACGUCACAGUAUGGCCAUCCCCGGCUUGGCAACUUGGAGUCUGAAAAUAUAGACAAAAGAAGCUGAAGGUCACUUAAUCCAUGAAGGAAACACUUUGGGCUCUCUAAGGCAAAGAGUUCUCAGUGCCAGUACUUCGAGGUUUUAUUUUCUUUUCCAUUCUCUUUCUGAUUAUAGUAGUGUGUGUGUGUGUGUGUGUGUGUGUGUGUGUGUGUGUACACCCACAUGUAAUCACAUAUCAUACCAUUGCCAAAUUUGAAGUAUAAAUGGUUUUCAGUAGAUUCACAGAGCCAUAUACUUGGCACUAUAAUUAAUUCAGAACAUUUGAAGCCCCUCAAAACGGCACCACACCAAAUAUCAAUUGCUUCUCCACUUCUGUGGCUCUAUAUCCCUCAACAACUAGUCUUUCUUGGGCUCUCUCACUGUGCCUCUUCUGGACACUGUAACCCCUUUGGUUUCACACCAUGUGUCUGUCCCAGUUCUACUCAUGGUAACCUGUGGGACAAGGCUGCCUUCCUUUUUUUGGCUGGAUGGUGUUGUAUUCUAUGGAGAAAAUGUGUUUUCUUUUCCAUCCAUUCACGGGUACAUACGAAUUUGGGCUGAAUUCUCUUAUUUACACAAGUUGCUGAAUGCCUUUGCAGUAAAUUCCUCUUUACUUCCAUUAGGCAGGCUAUGUUUCCAUUAUGUAGAAGGGAAAAUUCUAUAAAAGAUCAAUUUUUCUCCACAACUGUCCAUAUGUGAUGUGUAUGUCAGAUUCACUGAUUCUAGGAUUCAGAGUCCAACCCUGAGCCUCAUUCAGCCUUAUUCUUUAUUCUUGUGACUUUCAGGGUUUCUGGUUUAGCAUAAUCAUUGGUUCAAUAGUUCAGAAUUUAGGACUAGAAGAAUGUCUUGAGAGCCUACUGCUCUGUUAUUACCAUCUCAGAGGACUCCUAUGUACUCCAAAGGCAAUAUUCCUCCUGGUGAACAUCAGAAUCCUAAGUAUAAAUGCUGAGCCAGAAUUCCAUUCAUUGUUAUCCUUUUAGCUCCUUCUAAAUAAUCAUUUGUCCAUUGAUACCUUCAAGCUUUUAUGGCCUCACUUCAACAACCUUGUAAGUUAAUAGCAUCGUGCUCUAUAAGCAUUCAGUGUAAGUUUGGAUCUUUUUAUUCCCUCUUACCAGUCCAUUAUCUGUAUAGGCUUCUAUUGUACCUGAAAGUCAUUCUGCAACAGGCAAGACAUGUGACUUCAGUUUGUUACAUCUGCAAAAUGGGAGUGUUUGGACAAGUCAAUGAGACUUCAACUUUACUUAGCAACAGAACCAGCUCUUCAAAGGUUCUUGUAGGUGGAAGCCCAAAACACAGGUGAGGCUAAGUGAGGAAAAGUUGCCCUCUUCAUUUUAGACUUAGAAUAUCUAGCAUACUUUGGGAUGUGGUGUUAUAGCAUUCUCUAGUGUCUGUAAACUGAGCAAUUUAGGGUCCAGGAAGGUUCUGUCACAUGAAGAGGAACAGGGUCCAAAUAACUCUGGAGUGAAAUCAUCCUCUCUUGUAGGAUUUUCUUUAAGGUUAAAUUUAUGUGUGAUAGUUUGAAGAAAUAAUGGAUCAGAAGAUAGACUUGGAAUCGAGACCAAAGAAGCACCAUUAGGAGUUGAAGUAUCCAUGAUGUCAUCCCCUCUGGAAGGGGAUGUUGUCUUUGGAACAAGGGAAGACCUGAAUAUGCAGAGGAAAAUGUGGAUUCCUGGUUGAUGCAUUGCAAUCAUUGUGUUAAUUCUGAUUCAACCACAGCACUGUACAAUGCGGGAAAGAGGCAUGAAGGAGAGGCGCGAACACUGACUCACAGUCCCUCUACUACUCCCUGUGUGGAAGGUGCCCUUGUCUAUCAAGGGAAUUGUCUCCGUCGGGAACAACGAGAGUCUUUAACGGUGUAGAAGAGAUACUAGUGGGAACCAACCAUUGAACUGAUGAGAAAGGAUACUGGAAUCCAGCUUGUCAAGGGAAGGAGGUGGGAGAAGUUACCUCUAACUUGCACAGCAAGCCACAUUCUAGUUCCUCUCCAUAUUGCCCAGUCCUAACACCCAAGCCUUAUAUGAUCCAGGCUCCAGAUCCAUAGGAAGACCAGCUUAGCAAAUGCUCUACUAGGCACAGAGUUUCCUUAGUAACAGCUGAGAAGAGCAGAUGAAACAUGCUUUUCCACUUAACCCAGCUCAGAAACCCAUGCUGCACUGUGUGUGUCUGAGAGGUCCAAGAAGGAAUAUCAUGUCUGCUCUCCCUGUUCUUUGCUAUUCUAGGGCAAGGGGAAUUGAGAGUGAAGUAGCGUGACCUCUAACUGAUGCUGGUAGUCUCUAUGUUUUUAUUAUUCUUGCAGGUGUGUGUAGAAAUAAGAGUUGAUCAGUCUGCACACACUUAGAUGUUCUUCUCCCAGUCUGCCAUAAUAUAUAUGAAAUUGAUUAAUGUGGCCAACACAUCUCCUUGAUCCAAGCUUCUUCAAUUACUGUUCAGUGAUACACCAAGGAGAAUGACUUGGACUAUGCUGAAGUAGCAAACAUCUGGCAGCUCAAAAACCCUAGUGACCCCCAAUGGUAGUUUCCUGUUCACUCUACAUGCCUGCUGCACGUGGGUGGGUCAGCUCUCCAUCGUCACUCAGAUAUUUAACUUCUGUCACUGCCAUGCCAAGAGCUUUAGAAUGGUCUUUCAACGUAAUGCUUAGGUCUGGGUGUGAGGCUAUUUAUGUUCAUAAUAAAAGGAUUGCAGUUAUUCUGAAGGUUCCACCCAUCACAUGAAAACCAGGACAGGCAAUCUUCCCAUGGUCUAGCAGAAAGGACUGGGGAAAUGUAACAAAUAGCACUAAUGACCAAGACGAGUAGAGAAAAUGGGGUUUUAGAGGCAGAAAACUCUAAGCUUUUGUUUGAGGACUCUCUCCUCCUUAGAUAUGCAUGUUAUUAUGAGCAAAGUAUUUGAGUCUAUGACCUUUAAGUUUUUCAUUUGGGAAAUAAGAACCUCACAGCUUCCUAGGACAUCCAUAGAAUUAGGUGCAUAAAACAGUGUUCCCAAAAUUUAGUUCUCCUUUUUCCUACUAAAUAUCUUACUGCAGGUAAAUAUGUUGAUUUAUAUUUUGAGUCAGGUUCUCUCAGUGUAGCUGAAGUUGACCUGGAACUCAAUAUAUACUGGGACUGGCUGUAAUUCACAUUAAAUUUUCUGCCUCUGGCUCUCAAGUACUACGAUUACAGGAAUGUGUAAGCACAUGGUUUGCAGGUUAAUUAUUAUGCUAGUUAGUUUCAACCUGAAGGUUAAAUGCAGAUAAUGAGUUCACCGGGCUUUAUUUUCCAAAUCCCACAAGGGAUAUUUGUAGUUUGAUGGGCAAAGUUCAAUUGAACAGACAGGCUUUGGAUAUUUUAGAAUGAAGCCCCACAAAUAGUUACCAGGAUUUCUACUCCCUAAUAUUAAUAUGGUUGGGGGCUUUCCACCUUUUGACUGUUGGCUACAGCUAGUGAUGGAGUUUCACUUCCAAUUUAUUUUGUAAAACAUUGGGAUUUCCAUCUUUUUGCUAAUGACCCUUUCUUGCCUUGCCUCUAGACUACUCUGUAGACAUGCUGACAUGUUGCAGAGGCCCAUGUUGUAAGAAGCUGAAGUCAGCAUAUAGAGAGUAGCUUCAGGCUGGAGAGAUGGCUCAGCCGUUAAAGGCUAGGCUCACAACCAAAAAUAUAAGAGAGUAGCUUCAGAGGAACUGAGAGCCCCUUCUCUAAAGCCUGCAUUGAAAUGUAAAAUACCAUCACAGAGACUAUGGUAAUAGACCCUUCCUCCAGUCUUCAGAUGACGGGAAACCAUGAGCCAAACCCACACAACUCUAUGCCUAAUUUCCAACUCACAGAAUCCAAAUUAACAGUUUCAUACCACCAAUCUUGGGUUACCUUGUUAAGCAGCAAUAGAUAGCUGAUGGAAACAGCUAGGUCCCAAGCCUCGUCCCAGGUAUAGAAGUCAAGAUGGAAGGAGCUUACUACUUUUCUUCCAGAAUCAAUUAUGAUGUCACCACACAGUACCCACUAAGUCCUUCUUUUAUGAUAAGACAACUCCUGUCUCAACAUGCUAGAGUGAGCCAUCUGAGAACACACAUGUGCCUUUCUUGACUGCUGAUUUCCUCUGCCUCUGCUUUGUUAAGAGACUGAGUACAUCUUUUUUUCCAAUCCUUACUGAAGUUCUUUUAUUGAAAGACAGUUUGGUAUGGUUAUAAAAAAAAAUCAUAGAUUCUGGAGGUUGAUGUAGUUCCAUUCAUAAAGGGAUUUCAGGGGGACGUUAUCUAGACUGACACUUUCUUCUGUGUUAUUAUGGAAUAACUUGGGCUGCGGAAAGGCUAAAUGAGCCCACCAGGUGCAAGCCUUUGCUUGCCUUUGCAGCCUACAGCAUAGCCUUUGGCUGAUAAUGGGGCAUUGUUAAUCAAAGACUCAAGCCUCACCCAACAGGCAGUGUAUUGCAAACAUCCAUACAUCUUGAUGCUGUUCUGGUCUCAUCAAAGGAACUCAAUAUGAAUUAAUAAACCAUGGAUAGCCAGAACCAUAGAUGGUCAUAAAUUCAGCUCUUGCCUUCAUCUAUAAACCCUUGCUGUAGGAAGGUCUUAUUUUCUUCAUUUAUGAAUAGAUUUGGGGUUUCUGUCAUUUUCAUCUCCCACUGGCUCUUAUAUGCCACUCAGUUCUGGUGGGAAGAACUAAUUCCUAAUUCUUUAAAUGUAGGUAAUUAGCACCAAAACCUUAUGACAUGUACACAACCCAUAAAAAGCAAAGCCACACAGCAAGUAUCUUAAGAGCAUUGAUGAGAUUAUUAACUGGAGACUUUUAUCCAUGAACAACUAGGGUCUGUGGUAGAACAGGACUUAUUAAAGCAGCCCUGGGGGCUAGGGGAAGGACUUACAAUGAGAGCCGGUGCAAUAAUGCUGUAGGCUGAAGGAAACAGAAAUGGGAAGGGAAAGACAUGAGAAAGAGGGUCUGCUGGGUGUCUCUAAUUAAAAGGCAGCCAGAUAAUAACUUUAAGAAACUUUUGCAUUAUCUGCAGGACUCCAGUGCAUUCACAAUUUACAUUAAUGGGUAACGCUAGGUUGUUCGGGCUAUAUCUUUUCAGCCUGUGCAAUGGUUGAGAGGAAGUAGCAUGUAACUUUUUUUCUUUGGGGGACAGAAGGGUUGAUGAGGGAAGCUGGAGCAAAUAAGGUGAGGUAGAAGAUCUAUCGGGGCUGGAUUAGUGUAAGAGGUAGGAAAAUGGUUUCCUAAUGCUUCUUGUCCCCCUUAGAGUGCUGCUCCCCACUUGCAUAAUUAUCUACCUCUCUGGGAAUCCUAUCUGGCAAAUAUUUACUGCUCACUAUUAUGUAAACAUCUAUGUUAUUUUAAAUGUAUUACAACAUUUAUUUAGAUUUAUUGUGUUUUGAGAAUGGUUCAGAAAUAAAUGUAAUUUUCUCUUGCAGUUCUGUGAAGAUAAAUGACUUACAGAAUCUCAUGUUCUAUUUCUGGCUGAGGUGCCGUCGGCGGAGUUGAGGCUUGCCUUAUGCAGCACCGUCUCUGUAGGUCUCCUCUGUGCCAGCAAGACUUGUGCUUCACAAUCCGCAAAUCUCUGUAACCCUACCUUAAAUACAAUACUCUGUUUUCAGUCUUUGGAAAGAACAAUACGGCCCACACUUCCUUCCCAUGAUUGCAUCUUUUAUUCCCACUAGAACUGAACUUGACUGAUGUUUCAACAGCAUCGUUCAAGAUAAACAGCUCUCUGCCUGGUUGUAGUGCUAGAACUUAAGCUAACGUAUGUGCACUGUUGCUUGCGUCCUUUCUGUGCUUAGAAUGCAUCUCACUACUAAGGUCUUUCCAUCACCUUGAAUACUUCUUUCAUUCUGUAAAAAUGAAAAUAAAAUUCAUAGGCUGUCCCUGCUGGGCCUUCAUUCCUAUAGUUUUGUAGAGUGGUGGGUAUUUGUUAUCUACCAUCAACUCAUCCCCUCACUGACAUCUACAUCCCAGUUUUCCUCUGGGUGGAAAAUGCUUUUCUACUCAUUGUAGACAUGGCUGAGACAAAGCUGUGCUCUGCUCUAAUACCCAAAGGCCCAUGUAUCAAAAGCCUGGGCUCUGGGGUGGUGUUGCUGGGAAGUGUAGCAUGUGGAAGGGAGGUCCUUAGAUCAUGGGUGUGAUCCCUAAAGAGGACUAUGCAUCCAGUACUCAUUUUCUUUAACUCUGUAGCCUGUGAUGUUAACGGUUUACCUCUAGCAUCCAACCUGUCAUGAUGCCUAAAGAUUAGAACUAGCCAAUCUUGGAUUAAAACUUCCAAAAUUAUGAACCAAAAUAAACCCUUCCAUUUUUAAGUUGUGGUGACAGAAUGCUGACUGAUGCAUGCUCACUGGGAGCAUGGCCAAAAUACAUGCUGAUCAGUGCCUUACCUGGCCCUAUCUAGAGUGAGUGGCUCAAUGGUGGCCUGAGUACUUUCUCACCUUAAUGAGAGACAGUAAGUGUUUUGCUGAGACUUGAUUGAAAGAGAUUUUGCUUUUCUUAUUGCUGUAGAAAACUUGAGAGGAUUUAAGGACUGGAGCGCCAACACCACCAGGCUUAUCACAUGAUCAAGAAGAAAGCCAGCAUGCCUGGACGCACAGCACAGGGAUCAAGAAUGAAGGUACCUGGAGUGCAGAAUAGUGUUUCAGAACCCUAAAGCCCAUGAAGCUUAAAGCUGGACUCAGUUCAGGAGAUUUUAUAUUGCAAAAGGGAGAAGGAUAUCACCUCAAUUAAGAUGGUCUGAAGGAAUUUUUCUGACACCUGAAGCAAAGUAAUCUACAACGUUUGUGGGAGGAUUCUUUUAUGGCCAGAUAUGUAGGCAUCUAAAAACUCAAGGGAACUGAAGAACAGUGCAAAGGAGAUUCUUUCUGAUUGGCUCUGGUCCCACUAACUAAAAAAUGAGGAGCUGAGAGUCUAGGUAGGCAGCUGGUACACGUGUUCACAUAGUUGCUAGGGUCAAAGGUACAGACAUAGUCUACACUGGACAUCUUUUGUCUGCUCAUAUCAUCCAGGCUGGAAUAGACUCUCCUUUUCCAAGAAGGUGAGAGUCCUUCAGUCUUUUUUCCAAUCACUCUUGAGUACCCACCAUGCUGAGCAACCUCCAUCCAUAUUCUUUCUUUCAUUCUUUCUAUUUAGUGUAGAUUAACUUCUUUGAUAGUUUUCUUUUAAAGUAUUCGAAGGAUGCAUAAAAAUCAAGGAUGCUGUAUACCUUCAUUUAUGUUAAAAAAUGCAAAUAUUUUUGACAUUUCCCCUGGAUCUUUCUUUUCAAUUAAAAAGCAAAAGGCAGUCCUAGAGGUCGCACCUGUAUCCCUACUAACAGCCUUUCUCUCACUUUUCACCUGAUUCACAUUCUAAACAGAAGCACAUUGUUAAAUACAUCUUUCAGUGUGGUUGUGCCUUUCUUCCUAGUGCCUGUACAGUGAGUACUUGAAUAGUAUGUGCUUUAGUGUUGAACUUCACGGUUUUCCAUCAUUAGCACUGGGCAUAGCCUGUUUGGAGCUUGCUUUUCUCACUCAGCGUGGUGUCUUGGGAUUCGUUGAGACUGGGUGAUAGUUUAGCUAGCUACAGAUGUUAGUAUGAUGGCUUUCUUUUUUUUUUUUUAUUAACUUGAGUAUUUCUUAUAUACAUUUCAAGUGUUAUUCCCUUUCCCGGUUUCCGGGCAAACAUCCCCCU